rnacentral:lncRNA from 1 species
AAAAAAUAUUUUUAAUUUUCCUGUUUUGUUCUUGUCUUCUUUCAGUUCUUGUUUAUUGUCCUAUAAAUGAAUAUGAGUAAAGAGAAUGCUUUGAGAUAUUCAUUUUUCCUUUUAGCUUUUUUUCUUUAUAUUUUCUCUAAAUCCAUUUGAUUUGUCCUAAACUUCAUUUGUCAACUCUCCCUCCUUGUUUUCCUAUAGCCUACAGUUUCACAUUUUGUAGCCAGCCUUGUAUCUGCACAGUUUUCCUUGCCUUCUUCCCACUUUUUGCUGUGAUUGCUGCUUUUUAUAGGAGAAAAAGAGGCAGCCUUACCAAAUGACAGCAGUACAACUGCUUCAUCCCAAACUGAAAGGGACAAAGUGAAGAGGAAAGAGCAGAGAAUAAGGAAAGAGCAUCAGCACCUCCCUGUUACUACACUUCUGGAGCAGAGGAAAAGUUAGGAUCACAUUAUUCUGUUCUUAGUGAGAGGAAGAGUCGCAUCACUGCCAGGGCAAAUUGUUCUGCUGCCUUCUCAAGGAAUAAAAGCAAUCACAC